GGCACUUUGGCGGAGUGGUUAACGCGCUGGCCUGCUACAAUUUGCAUCCCCCAACGACCCCUUACCCCUGACGGUGGAGGGCCGGGCACGGGAUGGUAGCUGUAUAGCCAGUUCCUUCGGGAGCGUGAGUUCGAAUCUCACAGGUGUCG
rnacentral:tRNA from 1 species